rnacentral:rRNA from 1 species
GACGAACGCUGGCGGCGUGCUUAACACAUGCAAGUCGAACGGAAAGGCCCCUUUGGGGGUACUCGAGUGGCGAACGGGUGAGUAACACGUGAGUAACCUGCCCUUGACUUCGGGAUAACUUCAGGAAAAUGGGGCUAAUACCGGAUAGGAAUCCUUGCUGCAUGGUGGGGGUUGGACAGCUUCGGCGGUUUUGGAUGGACUCGCGGCUUAUCAGCUUGUUGGUGGGGUAGUGGCUUACCAAGGCGUUGACGGGUAGCCGGCCUGAGAGGGCGACCGGCCACAUUGGGACUGAGAUACGGCCCAGACUCCUACGGGAGGCAGCAGUGGGGAAUAUUGCACAAUGGGCGGAAGCCUGAUGCAGCAACGCCGCGUGCGGGAUGACGGCCUUCGGGUUGUAAACCGCUUUCAGCAGGGGCGAAGCUUGUGGUGACGGUACCUGCAGAAGAAGCACCGGCUAACUACGUG